CUUCUCAGUCUCUUUUCUCUGCUGACCACCAGAGAUCUUGCAGGAAGUCCAGCAGUCUCUGCUUCGUGGCUCCUCGUCAUGACCCUCCUUAAGAUAUGAACCAGCCCAUCCCUCUUCCAAGGUGUGCCUUCCUGCCAGAGGGCUGAGUGUUUCCAAGAC
rfam:Fukomys damarensis contig117344, whole genome shotgun sequence.